rnacentral:rRNA from 1 species
GACGAACCGUGCGAACGUUGUUCGGAAUCACUGGGCUUAAAGGGCGCGUAGGCGGGCCAUCAAGUCAGGGGUGAAAUCCUCCAGCUCAACUGGAGAACAGCUUUUGAUACUGGUGGUCUCGAGUGGGGUAGGGGCAUGUGGAACUUCUGGUGGAGCGGUGAAAUGCGUUGAUAUCAGAAGGAACGCCGGUGGCGAAAGCGGCGUGCUGGACACCUACUGACGCUGAGGCGCGAAAGCCAGGGGAGCAAACGGG